AGAGUUUGAUCCUGGCUCAGAAUGAACGCUAGCGGCGUGCUUAACACAUGCAAGUCGUACGAGAACUCUUUAGCUUGCUAAAGAUAGUAAAGUGGCGCACGGGUGAGUAACGCGUGGGUAAUCUACCUCUGAAUUUGGGAUAACUCCGCGAAAGCGGUGCUAAUACCGGAUAAUAUUUCAGAAUCUUCGGGUUUUGAAAUCAAAAGUGGUCUCUACAUGUAAACUACUGUUUGGAGAUGAGCCCGCGUACCAUUAGCUUGUUGGUAGGGUAAUGGCCUACCAAGGCUACGAUGGUUAGCUGGUCUGAGAGGAUGAUCAGCCACACUGGAACUGACACACGGUCCAGACUCCUACGGGAGGCAGCAGUGAGGAAUUUUGCGCAAUGGGGGAAACCCUGACGCAGCAACGCCGCGUGAGUGAUGAAGGCUUUCGGGUCGUAAAGCUCUGUCAAGUGGGGAGAACAUGAAAAAUGUUAAUAUCAUUUUUUACUGACGGUACCACUAAAGGAAGCACCGGCUAACUCCGUGCCAGCAGCCGCGGUAAUACGGGGGGUGCAAGCGUUAUUCGGAAUUAUUGGGCGUAAAGGGCGCGUAGGCGGUCUUUUAAGUCAGAUGUGAAAGCCCGGGGCUUAACCCCGGAAGUGCAUUUGAAACUGAAGGACUUGAGUAUGGGAGAGGGAAGUGGUAUUUCCUGGUGUAGAGGUGAAAUUCGUAGAUAUCGGGAGGAACACCGGUGGCGAAGCGACUUCCUGGACCAAUACUGACGCUGAGGCGCGAAGGCGUGGGAGCAAACAGGAUUAGAUACCCUGGUAGUCCACGCAGUAAACGAUGACACUAGUGU
rnacentral:rRNA from 1 species